UACGGAGGGUGCGAGCGUUGUUCGGAAUCACUGGGCGUAAAGCGCGUGUAGGCGGCCCAUUAAGUCUGAUGUGAAAGCCCGGGGCUCACCCCCGGAAGUGCAUUGGAAACUGAUGGACUCGAGUCCCGGAGAGGAGAGUGGAAUUCCUGGUGUAGCGGUGAAAUGCGUAGAUAUCAGGAGGAACACCGGUGGCGAAGGCGGCUCACUGGCUCGGUACUGACGCUGAGGCGCGAAAGCGUGGGGAGCAAACAGG
rnacentral:rRNA from 1 species